GAUGAACGCUGGCGGCGUGCCUAAUACAUGCAAGUCGAGCGAACAGAUAAGGAGCUUGCUCCUUUGACGUUAGCGGCGGACGGGUGAGUAACACGUGGGUAACCUACCUAUAAGACUGGAAUAACUCCGGGAAACCGGGGCUAAUGCCGGAUAACAUUUAGAACCGCAUGGUUCUAAAGUGAAAGAUGGUUUUGCUAUCACUUAUAGAUGGACCCGCGCCGUAUUAGCUAGUUGGUAAGGUAACGGCUUACCAAGGCAACGAUGCGUAGCCGACCUGAGAGGGUGAUCGGCCACACUGGAACUGAGACACGGUCCAGACUCCUACGGGAGGCAGCAGUAGGGAAUCUUCCGCAAUGGGCGAAAGCCUGACGGAGCAACGCCGCGUGAGUGAUGAAGGUCUUCGGAUCGUAAAACUCUGUUAUUAGGGAAGAACAAAUGUGUAAGUAACUGUGCACGUCUUGACGGUACCUAAUCAGAAAGCCACGGCUAACUACGUG
rnacentral:rRNA from 1 species